UACGUAGGGGGGCAAGCGUUGUCCGGAAUCAUUGGGCGUAAAGAGCUCGUAGGCGGUCUGUCGCGUCGAAUGUGAAAACCCGGGGCUCAACCCCGGGCCUGCAUUCGAUACGGGCAGACUAGAGUUCGGUAGGGGAGUCUGGAAUUCCUGGUGUAGCGGUGAAAUGCGCAGAUAUCAGGAGGAACACCGGUGGCGAAGGCGGGACUCUGGGCCGAUACUGACGCUGAGGAGCGAAAGCGUGGGGAGCAAACAGGAUUAGAUACCGUCGUGAUCAG
rnacentral:rRNA from 1 species